AACGGAAAGGCUCCAGCUUGCUGGAGUGCUCGAGUGGCGAACGGGUGAGUAACACGUGGGCAAUCUGCCCUGCACUCUGGGAUAAGCCUGGGAAACUGGGUCUAAUACCGGAUAGGACCUUUCUCCUCAUGGGGUUUGGUGGAAAGUUUUUCGGUGCAGGAUGAGCCCGCGGCCUAUCAGCUUGUUGGUGGGGUAAUGGCCUACCAAGGCGACGACGGGUAGCCGGCCUGAGAGGGUGAUCGGCCACAUUGGGACUGAGAUACGGCCCAGACUCCCACGGGAGGCAGCAGUGGGGAAUAUUGCACAAUGGGCGAAAGCCUGAUGCAGCGACGCCGCGUGAGGGAUGACGGCCUUCGGGUUGUAAACCUCUUUCAGUAGGGACGAAGCGCAAGUGACGGUACCUGCAGAAGAAGCACCGGCUAACUACGUGCCAGCAGCCGCGGUAAUACGUAGGGUGCGAGCGUUGUCCGGAAUUACUGGGCGUAAAGAGCUCGUAGGCGGUUUGUCACGUCGUCUGUGAAAUCCUUGGGCUUAACCCUGGACGUGCAGGCGAUACGGGCUGACUUGAGUACUACAGGGGAGACUGGAAUUUCUGGUGUAGCGGUGGAAUGCACAGAUAUCAGGAAGAACACCGAUGGCGAAGGCAGGUCUCUGGGUAGUAACUGACGCUGAGGAGCGAAAGCAUGGGUAGCGAACAGGAUUAGAUACCCUGGU
rnacentral:rRNA from 1 species